GUGCCAGCAGCCGCGGUAAUACGUAGGUGGCUAGCGUUAUCCGGAUUUACUGGGCGUAAAGCGUGCGCAGGCGGCCUUUCAAGUCAGGUGUAAAAUCUCCCGGCUCAACUGGGAGGGACCACUUGAUACUGUUUGGCUAGAGUACAGCAGAGGGAAGCGGAAUUCCCGGUGUAGUGGUGGAAUGCGUAGAUAUCGGGAGGAACACCAGUGGCGAAAGCGGCUUUCUGGGCUGUUACUGACGCUGUUGCACGAAAGCGUGGGGAGCAAACAGGAUUAGAUACCCUGGUAGUCCACGCUGUAAACUAUGGACACUGGGUACAGGGAGUAUCGACCCUCUCUGUGCCGAAGCUAACGCGUUAAGUGUCCCGUCUGGGGACUACGGCCGCAAGGUUAAA
rnacentral:rRNA from 1 species